GCUACCGUAGCUCAGUUGGUAGAGCACGCCCAUGGUAAGGGCGAGGUCCGCGGUUCGAUCCCGCGCGGUAGCUCCA
rnacentral:tRNA from 1 species